rnacentral:rRNA from 1 species
ACGGGAGGCAGCAGUGGGGAAUAUUGGGCAAUGGGGGAAGCCCUGACCCAGCAACGCCGCGUGAAGGAAGAAGGCUUUCGGGUUGUAAACUUCUUUUACCAGGGACGAAGGACGUGACGGUACCUGGAGAAAAAGCCACGGCUAACUACGUGCCAGCAGCCGCGGUAAUACGUAGGUGGCAAGCGUUGUCCGGAUUUACUGGGUGUAAAGGGCGUGUAGGCGGGGCUGCAAGUCAGAAGUGAAAUCCAUGGGCUUAACCCAUGAACUGCUUUUGAAACUGUAGCUCUUGAGUAUCGGAGAGGCAGGCGGAAUUCCCAGUGUAGCGGUGAAAUGCGUAGAUAUUGGGAGGAACACCAGUGGCGAAGGCGGCCUGCUGGACGACAACUGACGCUGAGGCGCGAAAGCGCGGGGAGCAAACAGGAUUAGAUACCCUGGUA